GGGGUUGUAGCUCAGUGGUAGAGCGCUCGCCUCGCACGUGUGAGGCACUGGGUUUGAUUCUCAGCACCACG
rnacentral:tRNA from 1 species